CGGCGCUCCCAGACAGCCUGAUCUCCAAACUUUCCGCAGUCUCGGGACCACCGACCGAGCACGUGGGCUACGCUCGGUGCCCAGGCCAUUCGCGAGCCGACUCCUGGAUCCAGUCCAUUGAGUUUAGAAGCUCUUCCAGAGGACAAGAAGCAAACUACUCUCCAGUCCCCAACUUAUUUACUCCAAAGAGCCAUUAAAAGUCAGUCAUUUUGUUUCUGUAAUUCAUUUUACCCAACCCACAGCUGAAGGGCAAACCUUAGCAGAUUGCAAGUUUCCAACCAGGGUGUACUGGUGACACACGGCCUCACCUUUGGAGUUUAAUUGACUGUGAAAUCUCUCUUCCACGUUUGGCCCCAUUGUGGAAGAAAAAAGCAUUAUGAGCUAACUGAUUGAAGUGGAAAACAACUGAUGAUAUUGAACUUUAACUGAGCCCCUGCAUUCCUGGAAAGCAGCAAGAAUGGAGAAAUCUCCCCACUAUUUUGUCUUGAGAAAUGACCACCCUGUUCUCAUAUAUUCUGAGGUGAAUCUGCACUGGGGCUGCCUGUGAAUCUUCCUCGAAUGGAGUCCUCUUCUGAGUGGAGAGAAAUGGAAGUCUGGUCCAGCAUCACUAAACACACAGCACUAUCGUGAGCUUCGUCCAAAGUGAGACCAACUUGGCACAGACGGCCAUGAUACAGGGAGCCAGCAGUGGCAGACAGCCCUCACCUGAGACUGAAGAGGACAUUUCCAUCAGGGCGGACACGCAGCAUGAUGUUCUCCACAGUCGUAUCAUGGAUGAAGGAUCUUUUAGA